rnacentral:rRNA from 1 species
UUUGCCCUACGGGACGCAGCAGUGGGGAAUAUUGCACAAUGGGGGAAACCCUGAUGCAGCGACGCCGCGUGAGUGAAGAAGUAUCUCGGUACGUAAAGCUCUAUCAGCAGGGAAGAAAAUGACGGUACCUGACUAAGAAGCCCCGGCUAACUACGUGCCAGCAGCCGCGGUAAUACGUAGGGGGCAAGCGUUAUCCGGAUUUACUGGGUGUAAAGGAAGCGUAGACGGCUGUGCAAGUCUGAGGUGAAAGCCCGUGGCUCAACCGCGGAACUGCUUUGGAAACUGUAUAGCUUGAGUACUGGAGA